CCCGGAAACAAUAGAAAACUGUUUACGUAACGUUAGCUAGCUAACUGUAGACUAACUUGCACGAAAUACAAUACAAGUAAAAUACCAAAAGAAGCCUUAGCCUCACGAGACUCCAAGAGUGGAACCAUGGAAGUGGUGCGGCUAUUUACAGACCUACUAGCAGUGCACAGACAGCAGCUACAAGCCCUGACUGUACAGGGAGAGAUCCAGACUCUAUGGUACAGUUACUGGAGAAGGAGGUGCUCAGGAGAAUGGAGCCCAAUGUGAAGCUGGAGGAAGUGGAGGAUCAAGCCUGAGCCCAGAACAGAACAGAGACUACAGCAGCAGGGCUUCAGCUCUAUAAGGUAUGACCCAGAGAGACCGCCCAGGGAGCUGGGGAAAGGGCUGGAGAGUGCUGCCCAUUACUGGCUCUGAGGAGGACAGCUGUGGAUGUGGUGAGGUGUGUGGCCCUGCAGAGUUCUGUAUCCCUUCUCCCCAAAGACAUUGGAGACUGAGUGCUGAAACAGUGCCCCCAGGAGAUGGAGGAAACUAUCUGCAUGGCUAAGGAGUACCUGAACAACACACCUGGGGAGUAGAGCAGUGAGAUGGACAACCACUCUGAUGGAGAGGGGUACUCUGUAGACCAACAGAGAAGAAACAGCAGGGUAUGGACAGAUCAUGUUUUGAGUAUUUCUUACACUCAUAUCUUCCCUACAAAUAUUGUGGGUUUAUUGGAAUGCAUUUGUUUAUAUGUCUAUUUCAAUUUAUUUUCAGACAUGCAGAACCUAAAGUUAACUGUGAGAAGAUUAAAGUCACAGGGCUGUGCCCAGGGUUGUUUCUGAAGAGGAUAGAUGUGUCGAGUCUGCCUGUACUUUAGUUUCAAUAUAGAUGCCAGACAUCUGGAUGACAUUUACAGUGAGGAUAGGAGACUUGAUGGGGAAGAUGAUUUUGCUGAACAUGAGGACUGGGUUAAGGAGGAGAUAAAAUACAAUAGCCAGUCUGAAGUAAAGGUUGAGAUCGGGUCAGCCUCUGAGAUGGGACAGUCUGUUGACAUGGCUAGAAAUACUGAGAAGGUUGAGAGGGGUCAGCUAAGAAACAUAGCAAAUCAGAUGCAUGUCUCUGGGAGGGCCAAGAGAUGUGUAUCUGCCCAUCAUCUCCUUGUCCAGCCCUACACCGCUGAGAGAGACCCUCUCCUACCUGAAACUUAAAAACAAAAGAUCCCUCCCAUAGACCAAGCCACUGCUGUCCUGACUGUGGUAAGAACUACAAACAGGCUGACUUUGUCAGUAAACACAGUUGCAGUGCCUUCCCUAAAUUCCACUGUCCUGACUGUGACCAAACCUUUACUUCUCAGACAUGCCUGACCCACCACCCCAGAAUCAAUAAUACAGUUGUGGGCUGCCCUGAGUGUGGAAAGCAGUUCAGGGACAAGUAUAAUCAGAAAUCUUACGAGGACCCACACAGGUGAGACCACUUAUACAUGUAUAGACUGCGGGGACGUCUGUUUUCAGCUGAAAGGGCUGCAGGAGAAACAGCAACAUCUACACAGAAAAAGGCCAUUCCACUGCAGUGUGUGUGGGAGGGCUUCCAUCACAGCCACAACCUGACAAAACACAAGCUUCUUCACUCCCAGGCAAAGCCCUUCCUCUGUACCCGCUGUGGAAAGAGCUUUAACCUCAAUGACAAGAUGCUGAGGCAUCUGAGGACGGUGCACGAUGAAAGCAUGUUCCCUUGGAUGUGGUACAGCGGAAGGGCAUCUUCCCCUAACCCUGCCUUGUUAAUAAUGCUUACAUCUCAGAUCCUUUCAACUGCUUUAGUCCCAAACCAGCUAACUAAAUUACUCCAUAUGUUCAACAAUAAACAUUUAACAUCA